rnacentral:misc_RNA from 1 species
GUCAAACCCAUUGGAGGUCUGGCUGUAAUUAUUUGGAGAAGCAUUAUUCCGAAUGAGUAUAUAUCAGAUUUUGUUCCCAACAUCCCAGUUUGCUGAUAUUCAGGAUCUAUAUAACAAAAUGUUCCCGCUGUUGAUGUCAUUCGGUACUGUGUCACGGAGUCAGCUAUAGAAGGGGGGACGAGCCUAGCUAAACCAACAUCGCUGAUCUUACUUACAUAGUUGCGGUCAAGCAAAAUGUUGCCAGGUUUCAGAUCCCUGUGCACUAGAGGUUCUGGCUUGGUCUGGUGAAGGAAAAGGAGGCUAGUUCCGACCUCUGCAGCUAUACGAAAUCUCAGUUGCCAAGGAA